UCCGUAGGCGGGCAAUUAAGUCAGAGGUGAAAUCCCACAGCUCAACUGUGGAACUGCCUUUGAUACUGGUUGUCUUGAGUUACAGUGAAGUAGAUAGAAUAUGUAGUGUAGCGGUGAAAUGCAUAGAUAUUACAUAGAAUACCGAUUGCGAAGGCAGUCUACUACGUAUAUACUGACGCUAAUGGACGAAAGCGUGGGGAGCGAACAGGAUUAGAUACCCUGGUAGUCC
rnacentral:rRNA from 1 species